rnacentral:lncRNA from 1 species
GAGCCAACCUGGCCUGGUGACCUUCUCUGUGCAAGCAGGGAGCAGGCACACACCACCAAUGAGUGAAGAAGGCUGCUGUGGCAUGCUCGGGACCUAGAGGGAACCUGCCUCAUUGACAGGGGACAGCAGCUGCACAGCUCCAGACAAUCGUUGUCAAGGACGGGAAUGAGAUUCUAACAUGGCUGAUCUGAUUUUUCAAGAAAGGUGAAAGACCCAAAUUCAUGGAAGAGAAGUGAGUCACACAGGGAGCCAGUGGCAGAGCCACACCCCACAGAGCAAUCAACAUGCUCUACUCUGCAGACCUGCAACAGGGAGGGAAGCCAGACUCUGAUGCAAGAAGGAAAGACCAUGUGCUGGCUCAGUGUGUGCAGCCUGGACUGAGCUACUGAACUCUAAAUCCAAGGAUGACUAAUAGGCAGAAUGACAUUAAUACCAGACCUGAUGAAGACAGCACAAAAAGUAAAUCUCAACACAACCUCACAAUAUUAAUAAAGCAAAAAUUUUAAAUACA